rnacentral:rRNA from 1 species
GACGAACGCUGGCGGCGCGCCUAACACAUGCAAGUCGAACGAGAGAGAAGGAGCUUGCUUCUUCGAUCGAGUGGCGAACGGGUGAGUAACGCGUGAGGAACCUGCCUCAAAGAGGGGGACAACAGUUGGAAACGACUGCUAAUACCGCAUAAGCCCACGGAUCGGCAUCGAUCUGAGGGAAAAGGAGCAAUCCGCUUUGAGAUGGCCUCGCGUCCGAUUAGCUAGUUGGUGAGGUAACGGCCCACCAAGGCGACGAUCGGUAGCCGGACUGAGAGGUUGAACGGCCACAUUGGGACUGAGACACGGCCCAGACUCCUACGGGAGGCAGCAGUGGGGAAUAUUGCACAAUGGGGGAAACCCUGAUGCAGCGACGCCGCGUGGAGGAAGAAGGUCUUCGGAUUGUAAACUCCUGUUGUUGAGGAAGAUAAUGACGGUACUCAACAAGGAAGUGACGG